AAGGGCACCACAAGAACGCGUGGAGCAUGUGGCUUAAUUUGACUCAACGCGGGAAAUCUUACCGGGUCCUGACACACUGAGGAUUGACAGGCAAUCAUGUGAAAUGUUUUUAACUUUUACAUAUAAAUAUGCUAGUCCUUUCAUGAUUAUGUGAUAGGUGGUGCAUGGCCGUUCUUAGUUCGUGGAGUGAUCUGUCUGCUUAAUUGCGUUUCGCAUAGGACUUAAACUCAAGUGUGCUACUUUUCUUGUAUUCUUUUUUUUAAAGUAAUUAUUUGAAAAUAUAUAUUUUUGCGCAUUUAUUUUGUAUUUAUAAGUUUUGACAAAAGAGUGAUUAUAAAACUAGAGGGACCGCUGCGACUUUUUUAAACCAGAGGAAGGUUGCGGCAAUAACAGGUAUGUGAUGCCCUUAGAUAUUCCAGGCUGCACACGUGCUACAAUGAUUAUUGCAGUGAGCAUCUCAUUUUUAUAACACUAUAUCACUAAUCAUCCUUUUUUAAAGUUCUUUGUAUUAGUUGAGCAGUCAAGCCUGCUUCGAAAGUUCGCAGGUAAUCAAUUGGAAGUAAUGAUUUCCCUUAAUUCAAUUUUUUUUUGAUUUUGUGAGCACACAAUAUGCUGCUCCCUUCCCUGGCAGUUAGCUUUUUUGGUCUUUCUGUCUUACAGUGAGUUGGGAUGUUUUUCAGCAUGUGCUUUUUGUCAAUUCAUGGUGGGGACAGACCAUUGUUAAUUGUUGGUCUCGGUCUUAACUAGGAAUGCCUUGUACUGGUCUUUGGUUCAACAAACCACCCGGAAUACGUCCCUGCCCUUUGUACACACCGCCCGUC
rnacentral:rRNA from 1 species